rnacentral:lncRNA from 1 species
CAUAUCACUGCUUUUCUCACUCCAAGUUUCCUUUUUCUGCCACCCGUAUUUCUGGGGUGGAUUCUAAACAGAGCAUGUCCAAGACCCAUGGAGGAAGAUCUAAUGCUUUUCAUGGAGACAAAGAGAAAACAAAAAUGCAAUUCAAAGUCUAGAUCGUCCUCUCCUUGCCACCUCAAUCGUGGUCAAGAAAGAACAGGCGAUCCUGACACAAACAGUCUUUGAGAUCAAGCAUGAGCAUGUAGAGGACCUUCGCAGAAUAAAGGAUGGCAAACCAUCUGUUCUGCCCCAGACACAGAGCUUCAUAGGCAAAGCUUAUCAGAAACCACCUGUAGCAGCCAAUAGAUGCAGCCCAAAUCUGCCCAUGAGGCAAGUUGGGGUUGGACCUCAGGAAAUAGGACCUAAGAGACUGAGUUCCAGCUACAGUGUAGCAAGGCCUCAGGGCAAUCGGAUGCCCUGGGGAAGUUCUUCCAUGUCCAAGAUAUCUGAGAAAUCCAGGGAGACAUUGAAGGCACAGGAGCUCUAUGCUUGUCAGUCACAACCUCCCACUGUCUUGACAACCAGAAAGCCAGAAAGCUUCCCAGUGUCAGAUGUCUAUACUCCUGAAAAUUCCCCCCAAAAUACCAGUUGU